rnacentral:lncRNA from 1 species
UUCCUUUUCCUCUUCCAUAGUUUGAAAUGCAAGGACAUGUGCUUCUUUUAAUGAUUUGUGUCUUUGCUGAUGUUGCUCCUCUAAUUCUUCAAGCUCUUGCGUAAGCCGCUGUCGUUCUUGCGUAAACUGGGCUUGCAGUUGUUGCAAAGAAGUCUGAGACUGGGAAAGCUGUAUCUCCAGAUUCUGUUUCAGCAAGGAAAUCUAU